UGGGGAAUAUUGCACAAUGGGCGGAAGCCUGAUGCAGCGACGCCGCGUGGGGGAUGAAGGCCUUCGGGUUGUAAACUCCUUUCGACAGGGACGAAGCUUUUGUGACGGUACCUGUAUAAGAAGCACCGGCUAACUACGUG
rnacentral:rRNA from 1 species